rnacentral:lncRNA from 1 species
CCCUUUACAGCAAAUUUGGACACUGCUGAACCUCUGUCCUCGUUGUGGUUGGCUGAGCCUGUGAAGGGUGAAAGAGUUUCACCCUGGCAGUGCCAGUGAUGAAUUUUACAAGGAAAAAUCACCUGUUCUGCAGUUUCUACUUCACCUCCUUUCCAUUAAAAGAAAUCAGGAAACAGGCCGGUGGGGUUCUGCUGGUCAUCAUGGAUAGAAGGGGAGCUGGGCAGCGCAGAGAUGUUGGAGAGAGAGGGGAAGGAAAGGUUCCCUGGAAGAGGAAGAAGCAUGGAUGCAAGUGUUUUGUGCUUCCUGGCACCUGGUACCUGCACAAAUUGAUGCCAUGGCUGCAGAGGAGGAGUGGAAGCAUGGGCAGCUGGGACAGGGCAGACAGCAGGAUCAGUGGACAACUGUGGUGUAAAUCUUGCUGCAUUCUGUUCCCACCCUGUCUGAUAAUGAAUGCCAAUCAUGUGUGUUAACAUUGCUGAGCUAAUUAUUUCUUGGCACUAUGAUAGCAACAGUUUCCAACCUCAUGCUGAACUGUGUGGGUUUGCCACAGCUAUGAAAUUGUAUGAGACAAAGAGAAAUCAAAAUUUCCAGGAAAAUCAAGUGUGCAUACAAAAGAAAAUCCCAGCAGGGCUGAGCAAGGCACUGGGCUUCUGCAAAGCUAGCCAGGGGUACAAAACUGUGUACAUCACUUUGAUUUAUUCAGAUCAAAAAUGAAGCAACAAAAAGCAGGACAAUGUUGGAAGUUAUACUUGAAGAAUAUCCAUGCCUGGAGAACCAAAUACAUUGAAUACUCUGUCUGGUUUUCCUCUCUAAAGUACUCAAGUGACAUGAGACAAGAAUUCACAUCCAUGGAAAGCUGUGAGAUGGGAGAAAGCUCUUGGUGUUGAACAGUAGUAUCUGUUAAGUUCUUGGUGAAGAAGACUUCCUUAUCUUUUCAGAAAACAGCAUUUUUCAGUAUUGUCCCUUGAGAAAACACUUGUUGGACUUAAAUUUUGAAAAUGACCUGACCUUAACACAGCCAUUUCCUGAAAGAGGAAAGAACUCAAGAAGCGAAAUUCUGUCUUUCCAGCAGCAUGUUAGUUCAGCAAGUCUUUGGAAGCGUGCAGUAAACAUGGAGAACCUUUCACUUAUAAGAGCCUCCCACUGGGUAUUAUGGAUUUCAGUCUAAAGCUAACAGUGUUUGAAGAUCCUCCUUCUACACUCUGUUCUUGUUUGGCAGCCUCAACUCUAGUCAUAUGGAACAAGGGAUGGUAUUUCAAAAUGUUGUGGUUAGCUUGUACAGCUCUAUUGUCCAUCUUCUGCACAAGUGUUGCAGCAACAUUACAUAUGGCUGCUGUCUAGGGGGCUUUUAGGAAUUUAGAGUCAAAAAGACUCUGCCUUAGGCUACGAGGUAAAGUUAGAAGAAUGAAAUCUUGAAACAAUUUAACCAAAGAAAUAAUAAUAUAGAAACAAUUAUAAGUGUCAUUAUUUGCAUUAGUAGCUCUACUUUACUUUAAAAGCUAUGUUCAGUUCUAGGUACUUAAUCAUAAAAAGGAUAAUGCAGAAUUGAGGUUCAACAAGAAUGAAGAGGGGUUGGGAAAAUGCUAGUAAAAAGGAUGGUUGAAUACAUUUAAACUUACAGAGAAGAUGUGUGACUGCUGCAAUUCAAAAUAAGGCUGAAACUGCCUCUGAUCUUAAUUGUACAUAAUUAAUGACCAAACCAAUCAAAUGUGACACAGUAAAAUCAUAGAAAAUAAGAAAAGGUUAUAAUAAAGUGGGAACCUGCAGCUGCUGUACAGAGGGGCAACUAGGAACUCUAGACAGGAGCAAGUAAGCUUGAACCUGCUGAUGAAAUGAAUGUUUCUGCAUAAGAUGCACAUUAAAUUAUGCUUCUCACAACCAUCAGAAGCUUGAAGGUCUUCAGCCUUUUCAGGCACUAGGAGAUUAUUAAAAAGCAAAGAACCUGAGCUUCAGUGGCACUUAUAAAGCAGCAUCAGAUUGUAAAUGCUUCAGGCCUCUUCCAAAUACUCAGAUCUUGAGGCAUUUGACAUCUUCUUCAUGGCAGGUGAGGAUAAACAUUAUUAAGGUUCAAAUUGUAUCUUUUUUGUGGCUUCUUACAUGUAAGGUGACAGUCCCUCUCAGAGGAACAGGAGUUUGUGCUCGAUGUUUUGGAUUUGCUGGGAAACUCUUGAGUUUCUACAGCCUGGUGGAGGAAAACUCCCCUGUCCCAUUCUGUAUCUCUUUCUUUGCAGGGCUGAUUGGUGUUUUUGCUCUUUGUGCAGUCACAUGGUGCCAUUCUCAAAAGCUUCCUGUUAAAGCCAAAAAACACAAGCUCCCAUUUGUGUUUCCAAUUACACAUGUGUUUUAAAUUACCACUGUCAGUCACAGAGCUGACCCCUGUCUGCACCUUUCAGACAGGGGUGAGGCAUUGUUUGAUGUCAGCUUUGCAGGCUCCUGCUCAGUAAUGCACGGGGGCUCUCUGCCCAAGGCCAUGAUUGGAGACAAAUGCCUAUUUCCUAUCCAGUGAUCCUAAGACAACCUACAGUAGCAGGUAUGUUUUAAGCAGAUUGUUUUCCAGGGGGUUUGGUGCUUUUUGACUGUUGUCUUGACAUUGUUUUUGUCUUUGAUAACCAUUUUGUCCACUUCACAAACAAGAUUUUUAAUUGUGAAACUUUUGCCUUUAGCAAAUGGAAUAUGGAAAAGGAGGCAGAAACAAUAAAAAUUAUGAUGGAGUU